AUUAUCCCAUACCCAUUGCAUACAACACAUCACCAACAACGUGCAGGAAAACCGACUCGACCCCAGUUACGUUUUCUUCCAAGUAAUACCCAAACCGCGAAGCCCAGCAAAUCACUGCGUUUUCCUCUCCUUCUCCCUUAUCUUCUUGUACAAAACCGUUUGUUGAUAUGCCAGAUGGAGCAAUCUCUAUGCUUGUUCGUCGUUGCCUCAUGUAGAAUCAAUGGCUAUCCUCUUCAUUCUGUUGAGAAAUUGUACAAAUUUGUACCUGAUUUAGCUGGCAACCUUAUCCUCCAAGGAUUUCGAAUUCAAAUUCAUUCUGUUUUCCCCCUUUUUAUCAAACUUUAGAAGUCUCCUACAAAUACCCCUGUCUCAUUCUUUGAAUCUGUUGGUCUUUUUUGUGACUGAAAUAAUACAAGAAAAAAUAUUCUAACGGAUAGAAGGAAAUACAAAUAUAUAAAGAAUCCCAUAGAAACAGGGGAGGAGAACAUGUUCAAGAAAAUAUACUUACAUCAUCUUAAGAAAGGAAAUAGAUAAGCUCAUAUACAUAUAUACCUAUCGAAGUCGAGUUAGAAGCAGAAGUAUUGCUUAAUUCUUGAUUGUCGUUCGAACUCGAAUUGUGUAUUGAAAAUGAGUCCCCUGCUAGCACCGUCUCAAGUUUUCUGCCGCAGAGAAGGUGAACUUCUUCUAUCUCAACUCACUUGUUAUUUUAUUUUGUUAUGUUUCAGUAAACAUGAUGGUCUCUGUUGGUUAUACCCCUCUUGCUUGUUUGUUUUUUAUCCUCUGUGAUAGUUAUGAGAGUUUCAUCUGGGUUAGAGUAGUUUGUUUCAUUUUUGAGGUCGAUAUAUUCGUUAAUGUGACAUGCUCGUCUUCAAGCACUUACGGAGAUAUAGUAUAGAAUGAGAGGUCUGUCGAUUUUGUUCAUAGGAUUUGAAUAUGGUAUGUUACUGUUGGAUUGAUUCUUGUAAUUUUUUUAGCAUGUUCUCAUUCUUUUACAGUGUUAGACUCGAGUAUAUGGUUCAAGAAUACAUAUGAGGCUGCCUACUUUCUUUGAAAUAUUUUUUUUAGUCUAAAAUCGUUGUUCUUCUCCUUUAUUCCUUCUCUUCGGUCAUCAUGGGUGGGCGUUUUCGUUUUGCAGUCGAUGUUAAUCCAUUACUCUCUCGUUUUAAGUUGGAUAUGAGCCAAAACACUAGUUAUUUGAAGCUCUUUUCGGAUGUUUAUGGUAUUAAAGGGCUGGUUUCACUCUGUUGUGGCUUUGAAAUAUAUAUUUUCUGCUUUUAAUAUGUACUGAACCUCAUGGCUGCUUAUGUUGAUCCAAUGUGUUUUUUUCCUUGUUAGAAGUCGGAGAGAAUUCCUAAAAAAGGGGAAGUUCACCUAUUCGUUCUCAUGCUUGAAUUUUCAUUUACAGUGACAUAAUUUGUUAGAUUUUACUCACUACAGUUUGUACAAUAAGCAUAAGUUCUUACUUAGACUUUCUUUCCCGUAGCAUUGGUUUUUUUUUAUAUCAUGUCUGCCUUACUAAAAAUGCUUAACCUUAUUUAGUUGGAUCAGUGCCAAUUUGAUAAGCCGACUACGACAUUCAUAUCAUAAUUAUUCUACCAUGAAUUGUUCCAAUCAUGCACAAAUUGUUCAUUCGAUAAAAUGCAGCACAUUACCUUUGCAUUUUAUGUUGAUUCUGAUUGUUUAUGAGUAAUUUUGUACUCCCAUGAGCUAUAAUAUGCAUGCAUGAAGUAUAUGUUGUUGCCUAAUUUGUCAGAUUGGCAUAUCGAUUUUGUACACUUUUGUUUGAUUCGUUUGUUUUCUUUUUGAGACAUAUAUGUAAUUUCAAUUUGACUCCCCUUAAAGUUGCUUCUUUAGUAAAAUCUGCUUUCAUUCAAGAUAUAUCUUGUUUAUCAUAUUAUUUCAUAUGCUAACCCAUUUCUAUAUUAUUGCAUGUAAAAAUUCCUUUCGAGUCCUUACGGACUUUACUUCAUCAUUUUGCAUUAUCUCUCGUUGAGCCGUGUAGGCUCAAACCUACCCCCCCCCCCCUCCGCGUCUCUGCUGUCGGUCAGCCUCUAGAAAGACGUACAGGUAAAAAGCAGCAAAUACACUGCUGAGAAUUAAAUUGCAGAUCCUCCAAAGCCUGGAAAUGGUCGGUUAUACAUGUUUUAUAUACUGAUAUACAGGUCGAAACAUGAAUAGGGGGGCCAAAUUCGAAACGCAGGUUAAUAACAGUAAAGAUACACUGCUGGAAAAGAUAUUUCAGCCCUCAAAAGUCGAAAAUUAAGCUGAUAUACAGUCUGUAUACACUGGUAUACGGUCAAAAUAUAUGGUAUAUAGUUGAAAAUGUGCCAUUACAGGGAAAACGCAAAAACAAAAUAUAUGAAUAUCUGGAUGAAAAUUACAGGUGUGGGAGCUCAAGAAUUAGCUAUAUGUAGUAUGUAUAUACAGGAUAUACACUCAAUGUAUGUCAUGGAGGAAAAAAUGGAAAGGGGCCAAAAGCCCAAGGAAAAUCCAGCAGGCCCAAAUUGGUUCCAAAGUGGGCAAGUUUUGGGUCAUUAUUUCAGAAUUAGGACAGGUGGGCCAAAGCCCAAUUUGGUGAAUUUGGGUAAUUAACCCAAGUUAAAAUACUCUUUCCUCCUCCUCCUUUAUCUAUAUUAGUAUUAUUAUUUUUGGAUUGACUAACACUUUGAUUGAAUUUUGUUAAUUCCCAACGAUAGCCAUUUAUUGUAAUACCUAUAUAUUUUUCCUAUGUCUUAUUAUUUGGUUUGAUCAAAUGAUUUUGUUAACGCUUAAUCUACUCCCUUAGAAUAAUUCCUUUUAGUUAAUUACCUUAAAAGAAUAAACAAUCAAAUAGAGUAGCGACAAUAGCAAGUAAAUAAUUUAGAGGAGUUUUCUUCUACUUAGUUCAAAAUAAAAUUAAUAAGGUUAUUUAGUCAAGUCGCCGGUCAACCGCGAGUUAGUAGGCAUUCCGAGGUUUUAACACCUUCUCGGAAUGUACAUUUGAAAUUCCUACCUUUUUUCAACUGAUUUUUAUCUGUUUUAAACAUAUGAAAUUAACUAUGAAAUUAACUAUGGAUUUCCAAACAUAUGAAAUUAACUAUCAUGUUUUAGCACACAUCUGGAAUCCAAGCCAACAACUAUUAACUACAACAAUGUACUAACAUAAACAGGGAC
rnacentral:lncRNA from 1 species